rnacentral:rRNA from 1 species
UGGGGAAUAUUGGGCAAUGGGGGAAACCCUGACCCAGCGACGCCGCGUGAGGGAAGAAGGCCUUAGGGUCGUAAACCUCUGUUGUGUGGGAAGAAGAGCGUGACGGUACCACACGAGGAAGUCCCGGCUAACUACGUGCCAGCAGCCGCGGUAAUACGUAGGGGACGAGCGUUGUCCGGAUUCACUGGGCGUAAAGGGCGCGUAGGCGGUCAUUUAAGUCAGCUGUGAAAUGGUUUGGCUUAACCGGAUCAUGCGGUUGAAACUGGAAGACUGGAGUGCUGGAGAGGCAAGUGGACUUCCCAGUGUAGCGGUGAAAUGCGUAGAUAUUGGGAAGAACACCGGUGGCGAAGGCGACUUGCUGGCCAGCAACUGACGC